rnacentral:rRNA from 1 species
UACGUAGGGUGCAAGCGUUGUCCGGAAUCAUUGGGCGUAAAGCGCGCGUAGGUGGCCAUUUAAGUCCGCUGUGAAAGUCAAAGGCUCAACCUUUGAAAGCUGGUGGAUACUGGAUGGCUAGAGUACGGAAGAGGCGAGUGGAAUUCCUGGUGUAGCGGUGGAAUGCGCAGAUAUCAGGAGGAACACCAAUAGCGAAGGCAGCUCGCUGGGACGUUACUGACACUGAGGCGCGAAAGCGUGGGGAGCAAACAGG